rnacentral:lncRNA from 1 species
ACGCAAGCACGAAGAUGAAUAUUAAGGCUAAUGCAUACAUGCCGGCACCUCGCCGGCUGGGCCAGCCGGAGAAGAGGAUCUCGGCAAUGUUGCCCCAGAAGAAGGUCAUAUGCAUCAUCAUCAAGGUUCCAUUGGUUGACUGAGAUGUUGGUGCCAUGCCUUCCAUGCCAUGUUCAUGAUUCAUUGUUGAUAUAUAUAGUAUAAGUACUGUAAAAGAAAUUGUUUUGAUGGAUAUAUUAUGGAAAUUUUAAGUUCAAAGACAAACGUAUAAAUAUUUGUUUCAAGUUUAGAUUGUGUUAAUAAGACCAAAAUUUUAGAGGUUUUGGAAGGUUAAACGUAUAGUAUUAGUACAUUAUCCUUUUUUGUACUAUUAGAUUUUGUACUACAAUUUAGUUCAUUUUUUUUAAGAUUUUUUGUCCCUGCAAUUGGCAAAUUCUACUUAGAAUUUUCUUCCCAAAAUAAUAGCAUUGACCCAAUUUAUUUUAAAAAUUAAAGGGUAAAGUACAAGAAUUGACACCUAAUUAUUAGUUCAUUUUAUUUUGGUCACUCAAAGAUUAAUUUUUUCGAUUUAGCUACUCUUAUUGUUAACCUAGUAUUUGAAGUCUAAUAUGGGUUUUGUUUCAUCUAAUAAUAAAUUUAGCCGAUACAUUCUAUUAAUUUGAUCCUAAAUAUAAAAAAAAAUCAACAAAUUUAACCUUCAAUAUUUGCAAAUUUUGUCAUUUUAGCUCUAAUUCUAAAAAUUAUAGAAUAUAUUUAAGGCAUCUUUAAAAUAUUUUUAUAUUUACUUUUUCUUAUCAACCAUGCUCAUUUUUUUCAUCAACUAAACAUGUCAAAAACCCAUAAAUUAAAGCUAUUUUUUUUAUCAAUCUCUUUUGAUUUAGUUCACUUUUCCCUUUGCUACAUUGUUUUGUCUCAAAUGUCUAAUUAAAACCCAAUAAAAGAAUCUGAAAAUUAGGAUCUCUUUAAAUAUUUUUUAUUUUUUUUAUAAUUAGGACUAAAAUGAUGAAACUUGUAAACAUUGAAUGAUAAAUUUGUUGAAGUUUUUAAAUUUACUAUCAAAUUGAUAGAAUGUGUAAACAUUGAAAAGUUUAAAUUUAUUAUUAACCCAAUAAACAAAGCCCAUGUUAGAUUUCCAUUAGACAACUAAUGAAAGAGUGAUUAAAAUAUAUAAUUUUAAAAAAUUAAAUGACUAAAAAGAAAAGUUGUAAUAAUUAGAUAAUCGAAAUAAAAUAAACUAAAUAAUUUAGUGACUAUUCUUGUUAUUUACUUUUCUUUUUGAAUCAUCGUUCUAAUCAUAUCUGCUAUUUUGACACAAUACCUAGAACUAUCCAUAGUCCUUCUCCACCCUAUAAAUAGUAAGAUGUGCUUUAGUGCAUUUGAACCCACAUCCUCAUUUAUUGGAAACAAUGUCCAUGUCAAUCGAGUUAAGACUCAAACGGCUUACUUAAAAUUUUAAAUGGUAAAAAUCAUUAUUUUUAACUUGAUUAAGUCUUAGUUCAAUUGUAAAAAAAAAAUUAAAAACUCUUUUUUUUAUCCUUUUCAUUUUUACAAAGUAUUUUAAAUGAAAAUAAUUUUUUUAUUUUCUAAUUUCUACAUAGUUUCAUUUUCAAUUUUUAAAAAUUUCAACCAAACACAUUUUUAAAUGUUUUCCAUUUUCCAAGAAAAAAAAACAAAAAUGGCCUUUAUUUUUUUAAACCAAACGAAACCUUAAUUUCACUUAUGUUUUGACUUAUUAAAUAUUUAAAUAAACUAUAUAAUAUUUAUUAUAAAUUAUUAAUAUUAAUAUUAAUUUAAACUAAAUUACAUAGUAUUUAUUAUUAAUUAUUUAUACUCGGCGAAAAAUCAACUGAUAAUAACAAUGAGUAUGUUUUUAUGUUAGAAAGGAAAUAACUUAACAAAUAUGAAAUAGAGUAGUUAGAUAAAAUCGCAUAAUAUGUUUAUUUUUCUUAUUAAAUUCAUUAGUAUAUUACAUGAUUUGAUUUUAAGUUUUGUUUUUGUUGAUUUUUUAUAAUAAUUAAUAUUAUUUUUAGAAUUUAAAAUUAUUUAGUUGUGUAAUUAUAUUUUAUAUUGUCAAAGAUGAUAUAAAAAAUUACGAUAUAAUUACACUAUGUUAGCUACACAUAUCUGAAGAAUUAUAUUUUAUAAUUAUACUUUGGUGCAAUUAAUUUAUGGUAUCUAAACAUACCCUUAGUAUAAAACUAUGUUUGUUUCUAUUUUAGGUAAAAUAAUAAAUGUUUACCUUUUUUUGUCACUUUAGUCCUAAUUCUUAUUUUGUAGGUUAAGGGUAUGAAACAAACAAAUUAAAAUAUUGUUAUUUAAUAUUUUAAGAAUAUUAUAUUUAAUUUCAUAAGGAUAAUUUCGUAAAAUAUUAUUUUAUUAUCGAAGAGAUAUUUAUUAAACCAAACAUGAUAUUAAAGUACAAGAUUUAGCUUGAGAAAUGCUAUUUGGCAUUAUUUUCUUACAAGAGCAAAGCCAAAAAAAAAAAAUUGCUUUGAAGGAUCAUAAUGAAUAAUAAAUAGUUUUCCCCCAAAUGAGCAUUUUGUUAUUUUUUAAUGUACAUAAACUUUGGUGCUCAUUUUAAAAGGAUAGGGAUUAAAAUUCAGUUUACACUAUAAUAUAAGGACUUGUACAACAAUAUUUCCAUGUGAAAUAAGGUAGGUUGUGGUCCCUAUCAAUUUAUAAUCUCUAACCAUAGCAAUUAAUAUCUGACCACAUACAUUACUGAAAUCACAGCUAAAAACCACAACCCAAAGCAUAAUUAAUUGAUGACCUUAGUUUUUCAAAGAAGUCAACAAUUGGGGAAUAUGGCAAUGGAUAUCACAAGAGAAGAGAAGAUUCAAGAAUGAAGGAGAAAUCUAUAAAGGUCCAAUCCUGCUCUCAGUCCCUAACCUAUUCAUACAUUUUAAAUUUAAUCUCCUUUUAAUUUCAUACAACUUAGUCCCUCUACUUUUUUUUUUAUUUAAAUCGAAUAAUGUUGUGUUUAAAAACAAUUUACUUACAUGGCCAAGUUAAAGCCGUGUCUACUCUACUUCUUUGAACCAAUUAAUGUUGAAAAAAACUCAAAAUUGAAAACUUCAUAAUCCUAUCUUCAAUAUAUUCAUUUGCUUCUUUAACGAAAGUUCUUUCACAUUAUUAUUAAAUAAAAGUAGAAGGAUUAAAUUUUAAAUAUACAGAAUAUAACAACUGAGAGCAGAAUUAAACCAUUAAUAAAAGUUGAAUUUAUCACUUGACAAAUUAAACCACCGCCCCGUUGUUGCUCUCAUCAGCACACGGCAGUACGGCAUGCACCUUGCCUUUUUGCACACACAUUUUAAUAUCCAUGGACUUAAUAAGGAACAUCAAGUAUGCAUUUUUUUAUAAUAAUAUAUAAUAAAAUAAAAUAAAAUGUGUAGGGGUGUUUAGUAAACAAAGUUUUGGGUCUUCUUUAAUUGAUUUAGGUACAAAUAAAAGAUUUGAUAGUAAAAAUUUUUAAUUAUAGUAUUUGGUGAAUGAAAGUUUGCAAUAACUUGUUGAGUUAAAACCUUCAAAAUAAAAAAUGCAAUUAUGGACAACUUUUUUCCUAACCGAUUGAGAAUGAGAUACGUAGAAUGACAUAUCUAACUAUAUUUACUCAAAAUUUAAUCACUAAUUAAUUUUCAUAAUGAAUGUUUAUUUAAAUAAAAAAUACUUUGCAAAUAAGGAACUUAAGAAAUUUAUUUAUUUAAAAUUUUAAAAAUAUUAACUAAUUAAUUUCCCAUAAUGAAUGUUUUAAUUCUUUGAUAAUAGUGUUUUAUUUCAAUAAUUUCACUCAAUAAAGACAAAAUUAUUAUAAACAAAUAAAUAUUUAACAAUAAAAUGUGUCAUACUUUUAUUUGUCAUUUUACAUUCACAUAUCAGCUUUCAACUAUCAACUAAUUUUUUUUAAACAAUUUUAAAUAAAGAGUUAAUAGAAUCAAUUGCUAAAAUCAGGCAUUACAAUCAAUUAUAAGUCAAUUGCCAAACAACCCGUGUAUAUAUAUAUAAUAUCCCACUAGCGUAAGUGGUAUUUCAUGACAGUAACAUGUUAGUAUACACAGAUAAAAAAGGAAUGCAAAGAUUUUUUUCCUAAAAUCAUUGAUUGGCUUUUGAGUAUUUAGGAAGGUUGCUUUAAUUGAUGGGUUUCUUUGAAAGUACAUUUUUGUACAUUUUUUUUUAAUUCAACAAGUUAAGUUUUUAAAAAAAAUAAUAAAUAAAUAAAUAAAUAAUUCCUUUUUAAUUCUUUACUAUGCCAUUUGCAUGCAUGCAUGCUCAUCGGCAGCAUGAAUUAUAAGGUAGAAGUUCAUUACGUUUCUUCCCAUGAAAUUAAAAGUUUGAAAGUGCUAACAAAAGAAUAUCAUGUUUCUGAAAAACCAAUUGAAUACUGAAUGUUAAAAGAUUUUUUUUUUAAAAAAUGUUGCCAUUAAUCAGUUAUAUAAAUUAUAGGUCUAAUUUUGUUUUCAGUCACUAUACCUUUACUAUAUUUGAAAUUUAGUUCUUUUACUUUCAUAAAUUUAAUCUACCUAUUCUUAUGCGUAUGUGUUUUAUAAUGUCUAACGAUCCAAAGAUCGGGCAGGAUGUCAAUUGAAGACAUGCACAAAUCUUUUGUCAUUUCAUCUAAAAUUCAAACAACAUUUAUUAUUUUGAUUUAAUAAUUGAAACCACCAUAAAAUUACUUCCAUUUAAAUUAUGUGAUUUCUUUUAAAAAAAUUGCUCACCUCGCCAAUUUAAAGUUGCAUGUAAUUUAGUCAUGGUACGAAAAAUGAAAGUGUUAUUAAUUGAAUUUUAAUUAUUAAAUCAAAAUAGUAGAGUAAUUAAAGAACUUGAAUUAAAAGUAGAGUGACUAAAAUUUAAAUAUAUAAAAAGUACAAUGAUCAAGAGUGUAAUUAGACCCAAUAAAUAUUUUUUUGUCGUAAUUAAAGUAUCUACCACCAGCAGCCAGCGAACAGUGACUAGUCCUUUUAUUGUAAUUGUUCUCCGGUAAUAUAAAUAGUUAACAAUAAAAUAUACUCUAUUUUUAUGAGUAGAAAUUGAACUCAAUUAUAUAGAUAAAAGCUCAUGGUUAUAAAUAGUAACAUGUAUGCUGUAUGUAUGCAACAUUUGUGCAUAAAAAAAGGUAUCUUAAAUAGUGGUGCCCACUUGCAAAAUGCAAAAUAUCAUGAUAUUAGAGAAAAUAUCUUAAAUGCAACCCUAAAUAUGGAUGGUACACAUUUUAUUGAAUCCUUGAUGUGAAGGUAAUAGAUAGAAGAACCACCCAUCAAUUGCAUUCAUUGGACAAUGAGUUGACCCGCAACUUCCUGCUAAUUCCAUCCAACAAGGAACCCAAACCCUAAUGACUUCACCUAUCAUCAAAUCAUAAUCAGCGUUGAGUAAAAAGUAGUUGGAGUUAAUUAAAUUUAAUUCUUUUUAUCCCUUCAGUUAAGUUGAUUAGCUUAAUAAAAUCGAUUUUAUAAUUAAUAUACUAAAUUAAAAUUGUUAAUAUUUUUACACAAUUAAUAUUUUAAUAAUUUUAUUGUCAGAUUUAUAAUCUAUUUAUAUAGAUCAUAUAUAUGACCGGAAAUUAAGGUUUUGAACUAUUCAAUAAAUAUUAACAUAAAUAAUAAUUUAAAUUAACUUAUAAAUAUAUUAAAUUAAUUCAAAAAUUUAUAUACAUAAAUAUAUAUAUAUAUAUAAUUAUAUUAAUAGAUUCAAACACAUGUCUCUUUGCACUGUUUUCACCACAGCCUCAUGCUAAAGAUAGGAAUCAAUAAUAAUCCAAGGAUAUGAAUGGGUAAAAUGUAUACUCACUGGUUCUUAAGCAAUCUAUGAUUUUUUUUUUUUUUGUAUCGAAUGAAAAACAAAUACAGAGCAAAGCACAGAUUAAAAGAUAAAAACAAAAAUCUAAAACCAUAAACAUCAAUUCUUUUAGACCCAAACCCGAAAGAAAUAAACCCUAAUAUUCAACAACUCAUAGGCGGAAGAUCGGAUGUUUUGGCGGCGGGGACGGUGGCGGAAGGUUUGUUAAAAACACGACUGCCAAAUAAUAAAAACCCCAGAGAAUGGCCAGCCACGGCGGCCAAGAAAACGCCACCGUUGAAAGUCAUGAUAGCCAACAUCACCAGAUACGCAAGUCCAACCCUCAGAGCAUGCAACAAAGUCUGAACCAGACCGGCGGUCACGUGUUUGGUGGAACCGGGUUUCAUGAACCGAGAGUGAGAAAUCCCCUCCACCAUGAAAGCAAGCUGGAAGACAACUAUGAGGGCCAAGACGUACAUACCGGUUCUGGUUCCUGGCCAACCGGAGAAGAGAAUCUCGGCAUCGCUACCCCAGAAGAAGGUCAUAUGCAUCAUCAUCUUAUGGUGGUUCGUCAUGUUCAUGCCGCCAUCUGAUGUGUUGUGCAUCAUCAUGCCAUGCAUAUUGUCAUCAUUCAUGCCCUCCAUGGAUGAAUCUUUUUCUCAGUUUGGCUCUUGAGAGUGUGGGCCUGC